GUUCUGAAUAGCUCAGUAGGUUAGAACGUGGUGCUGAUGAUGCCAAGGUCGCAGGUUCAAUCCCCACAUGGGACA